CGGAAAAUGCACCCUUGAAAGCGAACGGGGCUCCGUAAAGCGACCGUGGAUGAAGAGGAGUCCAUUAGAAACCUCGAGGACCUCCCGUGAUGGAUUGGGCUUUUCUUUAGCACGGACAUGACACAAGUUAGGGUAGAAAUGACCUAGCAGGAGUUGUCCUUCGAGGACACCAAGCCAGUCCAAAGGUGUUUGGGCUUCAGGUGUUCUUCAGUCAGCCUAUUAUUGAAACAAGGCCAAGCUUUUCCCAUCAGCAGCCACUCAAACCACCAUCAGGCCCAGCACCCCAAACCCCAGGAGCCUCAGCGCCCUCUCCACCACCCUGCCUGUGUAUCACAUGCACUGCUCACUAUCCAGGUAAGAGAGAAAGGGAGAGAGUGACAGUCAGAAAGGUAUCUAAGUUUGAACAUAAUUGAUGGUUGAGAUGUUAAAGGGGAAUCCUACAGUGGACUGCAGGUGAUGGGGAACACUGUGGGGGGAAAAAAGUGCGCAGGCCAAUUUUUUGUCCAACCUGCAGUGGAUUGAGUGUUGUCUACAUUAUGUCAGAUGGCUGGGCAGACUGCUGGUUUGAGGACAUGAAGCGCUUAUUGCGGUGGAUAAAUGCUGCGAUUUGGGGGAAGAUUGAGGACUGGAUGUUCACUUAACAAAGGGAUACAAAUGACGGCUGCAUUAGG